rnacentral:lncRNA from 1 species
GUAGAUAUGUAUAGGGGGAAGGAGACAGGGAUACUGGAGUGAUGGAGGUAGAUAUGUAUAGGGGACAGGGAUACUGGAGUGAUGGAGGUAGAUAUGUAUAGGGGGAAGGAGACAGGGAUACUGGAGUGAUGGAGGUAGAUAUGUAUAGGGGGAAGGAGACAGGGAUACUGGAGUGAUGGAGGUAGAUAUGUAUAGGGGACAGGGAUACUGGAGUGAUGGAGGUAGAUAUAUAUAGGGGACAGGGAUACUGGAGUGAUGGAGGUAGAUAUGUAUAGGGGGAAGGAGACAGGGAUACUGGAGUGAUGGAGGUAGAU